UGUCAAGCCGCGGUAAUACGUAGGUGGCAAGCGUUGUCCGGAUUUAUUGGGCGUAAAGCGAACGCAGGCGGGAGAACAAGUCAGCUGUGAAAGCCCUCGGCUUAACCGAGGAACGGCAACUGAAACUGUUUUUCUUGAGUGCAGAAGAGGAGAGUGGAACUCCAUGUGUAGCGGUGAAAUGCGUAGAUAUAUGGAAGAACACCAGUGGCGAAGGCGGCUCUCUGGUCUGUAACUGACGCUGAGGUUCGAAAGCAUGGGUAGCGAACAGGAUUAGAUACCCUGGUAGUCCAUGCCGUAAACGAUGAGUGCUAAGUGUUGGGAGGUUUCCGCCUCUCAGUGCUGCAGCUAACGCAUUAAGCACUCCGCCUGGGGAGUACGACCGCAAGGUUAAAACUCAAAUAAAUUGGCGG
rnacentral:rRNA from 1 species